CCCAGACUCCUACGGGAGGCAGCAGUGGGGCCUCUUGGGGAAUGGGCGCCAGACUGACCCAGCACCGCCGCGUGAAGGAAGAAGGCUUUCGGGUUGUAAACUUCUUUUCUCAGGGACGAAGAAAGUGACGGUACCUGAGGAAUAAGCCACGGCUAACUACGUGCCAGCAGCCGCGGUAAUACGUAGGUGGCAAGCGUUAUCCGGAUUUAUUGGGUGUAAAGGGCGUGUAGGCGGGAGCGCAAGUCAGAUGUGAAAACUCAGGGCUCAACCCUGAGCCUGCAUUUGAAACUGUGUUUCUUGAGUGCUGGAGAGGCAAUCGGAAUUCCGUGUGUAGCGGUGAAAUGCGUAGAUAUACGGAGGCACACCAGUGGCGAAGGCGGAUUGCUGGACAUUAACUGACGCUGAGGCGCGAAAGCGUGGGGAGCAAACAGGAUUAGAUACCCGUGUAAAU
rnacentral:rRNA from 1 species